AUUUAUAUAGUUUAGAACAAACAUUACACUUUCACUGUAAAGACAAAGAAGCUCUUUUAUAAAUA
rnacentral:tRNA from 5 species